AGUGUCAUUGCAUACUUGAGAACAGAGAAUGGGACUUGACAGGCAGCUCUAUAUAGUAAAGGAGCAUUGACAAGAAGGCAGGAUUUGAUAGCAUCCUCAAUAGUCUUACUCUGUGUAUCUUCCCCAAGCACAUCAACUUGAAGACCUUCACUCCUCAAUGCGUGAAUGGCAUUGCCACGAAGGUGUUGCAGCGGAUGCCGUAUCCCAACAACAACUCUACUAAUCCCUGCCUUGAUUAGGGCGGAAACGGCACUAGUAUCACAGUGACAGUCUCCAGGUUCCAUAUUAAGAUAAGCAGUGGCACCUCUACACUGCUCGCCAGCGGCUUCUACAGCCUGCACUUCCGCCGGAAUAGUCCCUUCGGCGUACAAGUAACCUUCUCCGACCACCGUAGCUCUACCAUUUGGAACAGCGAUAACGCAGCCGAAGUUGGGAUGAGGAGCGGUAAAUCCGGCCGAUUUGUCAGCUAAUUCGGCUGCUCGUUUGAUGUAGAGAGAAUCAAAAGAUGAAGCGGAUGUGUAACUGUAAUUGGAAGAAGAAGAAGCAGAAA
rnacentral:misc_RNA from 1 species